rnacentral:rRNA from 1 species
GACGAACGCUGGCGGCGUGCUUAACACAUGCAAGUCGAGCGGAGCGGCGAACGGGUGAGUAACGCGUGAGUAACUGCCCCCCUCUCUGGGAUAACAGUUGGAAACGGCUGCUAAUACCGGAUAGUGGGGGAUGACUCGCGGCCUAUCAGCUGGUUGGUGGGGUAGUGGCCUACCAAGGCGACGACGGGUCGCCGGCCUGGGAGGGCGACCGGCCACAAUGGGCUGAGAUACGGCCCAAACGCCUACGUGAGGCAGCGGUGGGGAAUCUGGCACAGUGGGGCAAACCCGGAUGCAGCAACGCCGCGUGCGGGAUGACGGCUUUCGGGUUGUAAACCGCUUUCAGCCAUGACGCGGUAGUUGCAGAAGAAGCACCGGCUAACUACGUGCCAGCAGCCGCGGUAAUUC